rnacentral:rRNA from 1 species
GAUGAACGCUAGCGGCAGGCCUAACACAUGCAAGUCGAGGGGUAACUAGAGUGAUAGCAAUAUUACUUUGGCUAGACCGGCGCACGGGUGCGUAACACGUAUGCAACCUACCUUAUACUGGGGAAUAACUUCGAGAAAUCGGCGCUAAUACCCCAUAACAUUGCGAAGAGGCAUCUCUUUGCAAUUAAAGCUCCGGCGGUAUAAGAUGGGCAUGCGUCCAAUUAGCUAGUUGGUGAGGUAACGGCUCACCUAGGCUACGAUUGGUAGGGGUUCUGAGAGGAUGAUCCCCCGCACUUGUACUGCGACACGGACCAGCCUCCUACGGGAGGCAGCAGUGAGGAAUGUUGCGCAAUGGUCGAAAGUCUGACGCAGCCAUGCCGCGUGCAGGAUGACGGCCCUAUGGGUUAUAAACUGCGUUUGUACGGGAAUAAACCCUUCUACGUGUAGGAGGCUGAAGGUACCGUAAGAAUAAGCACCGGCUAACUCCGUGCCAGCAGCCGCGGUAAGAC